AUGGAGCCCAUCCCUCUGCUGACGCCGUACAAGAUGGGCCAGUUCGACCUGUCGCACCGGGUCGUGCUGGCGCCCAUGACGCGGCAGCGCGCCUACGGCGGCGUGCCGCAGCCGCACGCCGCCCUCUACUACUCCCAGCGCGCCACCCCCGGCGGCCUCCUCAUCUCCGAGGCCACGCGCGUCGCGCCGGCGAGGCGGGACGAGGAGCCGACGUCGUUCAGGGACAUGCCGGGGAUCUGGGCGCCGGAGCAGGUCGAGGCGUGGAGGCCCGUGGUGGACGCCGUGCACGCCGAGGGCGCCGUCUUCUUCUGCCAGCUCUGGCACGCCGCGGCCGGCAACGGCGACGAUGCCAGGGAAAGGCAACAGGUGAGCCCGCAGAUGAGCUACGAUGGCCGCCGCGAGGAGCUGACGUCGCCGAGGAGGGUGGCGCCCGAGGACGCGCCCGGCGUCGUGGACGCGUUCAGACGCGCCGCCAGGAACGCCAUCGAUGCCGGCUUCGACGGCGUCGAGCUCCAAGGCACCAACGGCUACUUCGUCGACGGCGGCGGCGGCGGCCCGGAGAGCCGGUGCCGGUUCGCGCUGGAGGUGGUGGAGACCGUGGCGCGGGAGAUCGGCGGCCACCGCCUGGGCCUGCGGCUGGACCAGUUCACGGCCGAGCCCGAGGAGCACGCGCUGGCGCUCCACGUCGUGAGCCGGCUCAACGACCUCGGCGUGCUCUACUGCCACAUGAUCGAGCCCAAGGUGGACGGCCGGCGCCGUGUGUCCCGGCGGCUGCUGCCGUACAGGGAGGCGUUCGGCGGCACGUUCAUCGCCAGCGGCGGGUACGGGCGGGAGGAGGGCGACGCGGCCGUCGGCGAGGGGUACGCCGACCUGGUGGCCUACGGGCGGCUCUUCCUGGCCAACCCGGACCUGCCGAGGAGGUUCGAGCUGGGCGCGCCGCUCAAUGACUGCGUCAGCGCCACCUUCUACGGCGCCGGAGUCGGAUCCGCCCACCCCGCCGUCGGAUACACCGAUUACCCGUUCCUCGACUGA
rnacentral:rRNA from 1 species